UACGUAGGGGGCGAGCGUUGUCCGGAUUCAUUGGGCGUAAAGCGCUUUAAGGCGGUUCGGUAAGUCGGGUGUGAAACCUCCAGGCUCGACCUGGAGACGCCACUCGAUACUGCUGUGACUAGAGUCCGGUAGGGGACCACGGAAUUCCUGGUGUAGCGGUGAAAUGCGCAGAUAUCAGGAGGAACACCAGUGGCGAAGGCGGUGGUCUGGGCCGGAACUGACGCUGUAGAGCGAAAGCGUGGGGA
rnacentral:rRNA from 1 species